rnacentral:rRNA from 1 species
UACGUAGGGUGCAAGCGUUAUCCGGAAUUAUUGGGCGUAAAGAGCUCGUAGGCGGUUUGUCGCGUCGGCUGUGAAAACCGGAGGCUCAACCUCCAGCCUGCAGUGGAUACGGGCAGACUAGAGUGCGGUAGGGGAGAUUGGAAUUCCUGGUGUAGCGGUGGAAUGCGCAGAUAUCAGGAGGAACACCGGUGGCGAAGGCGGAUCUCUGGGCCGUAACUGACGCUGAGGAGCGAAAGCGUGGGGAGCGAACAGG